AUGAACGCUGGCGGCGUGCUUAACACAUGCAAGUCGAACGAUGAUCCUCAGCUUGCUGGGGGGAUUAGUGGCGAACGGGUGAGUAACACGUGAGUAACCUGCCCUUGACUCUGGGAUAAGCCUGGGAAACUGGGUCUAAUACCGGAUAUGACUGCUCCACGCAUGUGGUGGUGGUGGAAAGCUUUUGCGGUUUUGGAUGGACUCGCGGCCUAUCAGCUUGUUGGUGGGGUAAUGGCCUACCAAGGCGACGACGGGUAGCCGGCCUGAGAGGGUGACCGGCUCACACUGGGACUGAGACACGGCCUCAGACUCCUACGGGAGGCAGCGAGUGGGGAAUAUUGCACAAUGGGCGAAAGCCUGAUGCAGCGACGCCGCGUGAGGGAUGACGGCCUUCGGGUUGUAAACCUCUUUCAGUAGGGAAGAAGCCGCAAGGUGACGGUACCUGCAGAAGAAGCGCCGGCUAACUACGUGCCAGCAGCCGCGGUAAUACGUAGGGCGCAAGCGUUAUCCGGAAUUAUUGGGCGUAAAGAGCUCGUAGGCGGUUUGUCGCGUCUGCUGUGAAAGACCGGGGCUCAACUCCGGUUCUGCAGUGGGUACGGGCAGACUAGAGUGAUGUAGGGGAGACUGGAAUUCCUGGUGUAGCGGUGAAAUGCGCAGAUAUCAGGAGGAACACCGAUGG
rnacentral:rRNA from 1 species